UACGUAGGGUGCAAGCGUUGUCCGGAAUUAUUGGGCGUAAAGAGCUCGUAGGCGGUCUGUCGCGUCUGCUGUGAAAACUCGAGGCUCAACCUCGAGCUGUCGGCGGAAACCAUCUGGCUAGAGUCCGGAAGAGGAGAGUGGAAUUCCUGGUGUAGCGGUGAAAUGCGCAGAUAUCAGGAAGAACACCUAUGGCGAAGGCAGCUCUCUGGGACGGUACUGACGCUGAGACGCGAAAGCGUGGGGAGCGAACAGG
rnacentral:rRNA from 1 species